rnacentral:rRNA from 1 species
UGCCCAGACUCCUACGGGAGGCAGCAGUGAGGAAUAUUGGUCAAUGGGCGGGAGCCUGAACCAGCCAAGUCGCGUGAGGGAAGACGGUCCUACGGAUUGUAAGCCUCUUUUGCCGGGGAGCAACGGGGUCCUUGCGAGGGCCCAAUGAGAGUACCCGAAGAAAAAGCAUCGGCUAACUCCGUGCCAGCAGCCGCGGUAAUACGGAGGAUGCGAGCGUUAUCCGGAUUUAUUGGGUUUAAAGGGUGCGCAGGCGGCGUGUCAAGCAAGCGGUAAAAUAGCGGGGCUCAACCCCGUCGAGCCGUUUGAACUGGCGCGCUUGAGUUCAGGCGAGGUAGGCGGAAUUCGUGGUGUAGCGGUGAAAUGCAUAGAUAUCACGAAGAACUCCGAUUGCGAAGGCAGCUUACCAGUCUGCGACUGACGCUCAGGCACGAAAGUGUGGGUAUCGAACAGGAUUAGAUACCCCAGUAG